rnacentral:lncRNA from 1 species
GUGCGUGUACAAGUGCAAAGAUGACUCCAAGAAAUAAAGGAACGUCAUCAACAGAUACCAUACUCGGGGAGAUAUCUGGAAAAUUACGAUUCUAAUUUCAAAAAUGGAAACCAUGAAUGGACUACUUAAUGAUAUACAUCAUAAGUCAAAGGACUUAUUAUAACUGGAUUUGACAAGGAAAUAAAAGACGGAUUCAAAAAUGACAGCAUCGAACUGGAAACAAUCCGAAACUCAAGUAAGUCUAAUGAAUCAACA